UACGAAGGGGGCUAGCGUUGCUCGGAAUCACUGGGCGUAAAGCGCACGUAGGCGGAUUUCUAAGUCAGGGGUGAAAUCCUGGAGCUCAACCCCAGAACUGCCUUUGAUACUGGAGAUCUCGAGUCCGGAAGAGGUGAGUGGAACUGCGAGUGUAGAGGUGAAAUUCGUAGAUAUUCGCAAGAACACCAGUGGCGAAGGCGGCUCACUGGUCCGGUACUGACGCUGAGGUGCGAAAGCGUGGGGAGCAAACAGG
rnacentral:rRNA from 1 species